rnacentral:rRNA from 1 species
UACGUAGGGGGCAAGCGUUGUCCGGAUUUAUUGGGCGUAAAGAGCUCGUAGGCGGUUCCGUAAGUCGGGUGUGAAAAAUCUGGGCUCAACCCAGUGGAGCACCCGAUACUGCGGUGACUCGAGUCCGGUAGGGGAGUGUGGAAUUCCUGGUGUAGCGGUGAAAUGCGCAGAUAUCAGGAGGAACACCCGUGGCGAAGGCGGCUCUCUGGGACGGUACUGACGCUGAGACGCGAAAGCGUGGGGAGCGAACAGG